rnacentral:rRNA from 1 species
CGCGAAUCGCCCUUCGGGGUGCCCAGGCGCGAAAACUUUACAAUGCUGGCAACAGCGAUAAGGGGACCUCGAGUGCCAGGAUACAAUCUUGGCUGUCGCGAUGCCUAAAAAGCAUUGCAUAGCAAGGGCCGGGCAAGACCGGUGCCAGCCGCCGCGGUAACACCGGCGGCUCGAGUGGUAACCGCUAUUAUUGGGUCUAAAGGGUCUGUAGCCGGCCGGAUAAGUCUUUUGGGAAAUCCAGCUGCUCAACAGUUGGGCUUUCAGAAGAUACUGUUCGGCUCGAGACCGGGAGAGGUGAGAGGUACUUCAGGGGUAGGGGUGAAAUCUUGUAAUCCUUGAAGGACCACCAGUGGCGAAGGCGUCUCACCAGAACGGAUCUGACGGCAAGGGACGAAAGCUAGGGGCACGAACCGGAUUAGAUACCCGGGUAGUCCUAGCCGUAAACGAUACUCGCUAGGUGUCAGCCACGGUGCGACCGUGGUUGGUGCCGUAGGGAAGCCGUGAAGCGAGCCACCUGGGAAGUACGGCCGCAAGGCUGAAACUUAAAGGAAUUGGCGGGGGAGCAC